rnacentral:ncRNA from 1 species
CAACCUCAACUCAUAUGGGACUACCCCCUGAAUUUAAGCAUAUUAAUUAGGGGAGGAAAAGAAACUAACAAGGAUUUUCUUAGUAGCGGCGAGCGAAAAGAAAAUAGUUCAGCACUAAGUCACUUUGUCUUUAUGGCAAAUGUGAGAUGCAGUGUAUGGAGCAUCAAUAUUCUAGUAUGAGAAAUUAAUGAUUUAAGUCCUUCUUAAAUGAGGCCAUUUACCCAUAGAGGGUGGCAGGCCCGUAUAACGUUAAUGAUUACUAGAUGGUGUUUCCAAAGAGUCGUGUUGCUUGAUAGUGCAGCACUAAGUGGGUGGUAAACUCCAUCUAAAACUAAAUAUAACCAUGAGACCGAUAGUAAACAAGUACCGUGAGGGAAAGUUGAAAAGAACUCUGAAUAGAGAGUUAAAUAGUACGUGAAACUGCUUAGAGGUUAAGCCCGAUGAACCUGAAUAUCCAUUAUGGAAAAUUCAUCAUUAGAGUUUUAAUAUUUUAAUAAUAUUAUAAUAAUAGUGUGCAUUUUUUCCAUAUAAGGACAUUGUAAUCUAUUAACAUAAACCAAAUUUAUCAUAAAAUAUGACUUAUAGUUUAUUUAAAUUAUUUUGCUUGCAUUUUAACAUAGAAUAAAUGUCAUUAAUUUGAUAAAGUGUUGAUAGAUUUAUAUGAAUACAGUGCGUUAAUUUUUCGGAAUUAUAUAAUAGCAUGAUUAUCAUUGAUUUUCUGUGUUUAUUAUAUGCACUUGUAUGAUUAACAAUGCGAAAGAUUCAGGAUACCUUCGGGACCCGUCUUGAAACACGGACCAAGGAGUCUAACAUAUGUGCAAGUUAUUGGGAUAUAAACCUAAUAGCAUAAUUAACUUGACUAAUAAUGGGAUUAGUUUUUUAACUAUUUAUAGAUAAUUAACACAAUCCCGGGGCGUUCUAUAUAGUUAUGUAUAAUGAUAUUUAUAUUAUUUAUACCUCUAACUGGAACGUACCUUGAGCAUAUAUGCUGUGACCCGAAAGAUGGUGAACUAUACUUGAUCAGGUUGAAGUCAGGGGAAACCCUGAUGGAAGACCGAAACAGUUCUGACGUGCAAAUCGAUUGUCAGAAUGAGUAUA